CGCAGCAAAGAUUGAGCUAGGCCCUUGACGUCACUAGGCGCUCACCAACGACCCGAGACGCACAUCGUUGAGGGCGGUAGAAUUCGUAGAUGGUCAUCGACGCUGAGGCGGAAUACAGAGGCACUCUCCAACCGGCGAGGUGAUGUUCUGGCACCUUAGCUGCGAUAGGGACCAAAAUAGUUGGUCGAUAAGCAUUACGGUGGUACUACAAUGCUGAAACACGCGACGGAACAGAGAACCCCUCACCAUGGAACGCUGGCCACGACAGCAGCCCCACGGCGGCGAUGGCGAACGUGAUGGGGAAGGCAACAACACCUGUACUAUUUUUGCGUGAUAGCUCGAGCCAAACAGCUCACUAAUGCGCAAGCCAGAGGCGAACGCGCGCGGCUAACUGGAGUGGACAGGGAAGGAUGGUGCUAUGCAAAUUUUGCUAGCAAGGAUGGUUAUGG
rnacentral:lncRNA from 1 species